UAUAUAUUUAUUUAUUUAUAAGAUUCGCCAGACAAUACAAACAUUCAUUUAUAACAUAAUGACAAGUAAAUACGCGAUGGCAGGGAAGCGAUAAACUCUCCAAUAACGAGGUCCCAGAAACUUGUCACAGAAACUUUCAGUUGCUAUAUUGUAAGCCAGCCUUUCGAGAAAUAGGAUGGAGAACAAACUACAAACUCUCAAUGUAAUUGAGACUAGCUAUAUAUUGAACUAGCUCAAAUAUUUAUUCAACAUAUAAAUUGUAGUAUAAUUAAUUUAUAGUUAGUAUUGUAUAAUAUGUUGUAUGUAUAUAGUCUAUAUAGAUAUAUUUGUAUCAUAUAUAUAUUUAGCACGUAUCACCGAG